AUUAGAAUAUUUUAAUCACCGUAUCCCACAGAAGCGUUUUUGCGGAGAAACGCUCUCGAAUGUGCCUCCAUCUCGCGCACGCCCCCCGCCACCUCUCCUCCCUCCUCCCUCUCUCUCUCUAGGCAGCGAGUAGCGUACUCGCUUAUGGAGUGAGCAUGUGCCGGGUUAGUCUCACUCUUACACUCUGAAGAAACGGGCAGGUGUCUGAAGAGUCCUGCUCUCCGCUCUCUGCUUUCGGCGUCCUCCUUUCCGCGUGGAUUACAGUGUUUGUCCAACCGUAUAUUUCCUGAAUCGGUUUCGUUUUUUCUUUCCUUCUGAUUUUCUUGUCGGACUAAAAAAAAGUAUGAGAUCCCGUUUAAAUUAUGCGUGCUUCCUCGUGCCUGUUGCUCUACAGUUCACUAGGAUACGACAGAUUGUUUCCAAAAUGGAGGCUCCGUCCAAUUGGAGCAGUCACCCGGAGCCCCGCUGAGCUGUCCCAAAUGGGACCGGAUGCCCUCCUGUUGGGUCUGCUCAUCAUUGCCCCGGGGGACCCCAAUCUUACACAGCACACCUGGGCCGGGUCACCUGGGACCCCUCUCUCCGCACGACAGCUGGGAGCGCAGGAGCCAGUGAGAGUGAGGUCAUCAAUGAUGUCACCGACAUCGUCACCUUCACCCGCAAAGUCGCUGCUGGCGUUAGCCGUAGCAUUGGAAUUAGCGUUAUUACAGGGAAAUGCCUGCAAAUUGGCUGAAUAGAGUCCAGAUAAUUUCAGAGAGAUGGCAGAGUGGACUGAAGCUUGGCUUUUUGACAGAAUACAUAAAAUCGCUUGUGAUGCUAGCGACCACAUCCUUAACAGAAGAAACACAGCGUCUCAGAGGGAUGUCAUCCAUAAAGGCUAGCUGCGUGCCAUAAUUGGGCCUUAUAGAUGUGUGCUUUUUGAACCACUGUUUGACUGAACUGAGGUGGAAUACCAAGGGGAAAUAAUUUUUUUGUUAUUUAUUUCUCUAUUACCUCCGGAACAUUUUACUGUAUCGUUGUAUUUAUUCAGCGUUUUCUUUGUGGUAUUUGUGCUUUAGACAUUUUGAAACUGAGGGGAGAAAAAUAAGAUGACAAAACUGGAUAUAUAUAUAUGUACGACGGGACAGAGGAAUAAAACUGUAAUAGCAAUUAAAUGAAAUUAAUAGUAUCAUGUUUCCCCGAUGAGCAGCUUUGUCCAUAGACCUGUCUGGUCUAAUGCAUUUGGAUGAAGCGGUAAUCUGUGGAAUUGCUGUCCACUAAACUGAUUGAGUCUGGCCUCUCUUAAUGUAAUGAAUUUUGGGCUUUAUCCUAGCCAACCGCCAAAUAAAAU